rnacentral:rRNA from 1 species
GACGAACGCUGGCGGCGUGCCUAACACAUGCAAGUCUUGGGAGAAAGAGGUAGCAAUAUCUUGAGUAAACCGGCGCAAGGGUGAGUAACACGUAGGUAAUCUACCCAGAGGACGAGAAUAACUUCGAGAAAUCGAGGCUAAUGCUCGAUGAUUUUCCGAUAUAGCAUUAUAUUAGAAUUAAAUACCGCAAGGUGCCUUUGGAUGAACCUGCGUCCCAUUAGGUAGUUGGUGAGGUAACGGCCCACCAAGCCGACGAUUGGUAGCUGGUCUGAGAGGACGAUCAGCCACACUGGAACUGAGACACGGUCCAGACUCCUACGGGAGGCAG